rnacentral:rRNA from 1 species
UCCUGGUGGCGAGUGGCGAACGGGUGAGUAAUAUAUCGGAACGUGCCCAGUCGUGGGGGAUAACGCAGCGAAAGCUGUGCUAAUACCGCAUACGAUCUCUGGAUGAAAGCGGGGGACCUUCGGGCCUCGCGCGAUUGGAGCGGCCGAUAUCAGAUUAGCUAGUUGGUGGGGUAAAAGCCCACCAAGGCGACGAUCUGUAGCUGGUCUGAGAGGACGACCAGCCACACUGGAACUGAGACACGGUCCAGACUCCUACGGGAGGCAGCAGUGGGGAAUUUUGGACAAUGGGCGAAAGCCUGAUCCAGCAAUGCCGCGUGCAGGAUGAAGGCCUUCGGGUUGUAAACUGCUUUUGUACGGAACGAAACGGCUCCUCUUAAUACGGGGGGCUAAUGACGGUACCGUAAGAAUAAGCACCGGCUAACUACGUGCCAGCAGCCGCGGUAAUACGUAGGGUGCGAGCGUUAAUCGGAAUUACUGGGCGUAAAGCGUGCGCAGGCGGUUAUAUAAGACAGAUGUGAAAUCCCCGGGCUCAACCUGGGACCUGCAUAUGUGACUGUAUAGCUAGAGUACGGUAGAGGGGGAUGGAAUUCCGCGUGUAGCAGUGAAAUGCGUAGAUAUGCGGAGGAACACCGAUGGCGAAGGCAAUCCCCUGGACCUGUACUGACGCUCAUGCACGAAAGCGUGGGGAGCAAACAGGAUUAGAUACCCUGGUAGUCCACGCCCUAAACGAUGUCAACUGGUUGUUGGGUCUUCACUG